rnacentral:rRNA from 1 species
UUAAGUGAAUAAGGGCGCACGGUGGAUGCCUUGGCACUAGGAGCCGAUGAAGGACGGGACUAACACCGAUAUGCUUUGGGGAGCUGUACGUAAGCUAUGAUCCAGAGAUUUCCGAAUGGGGGAACCCAGCAUCUUUAAUAGGAUGUUACGAUUGUGUGAAUACAUAGCACAUUCGAGGUAGACGCAGAGAACUGAAACAUCUAAGUACCUGCAGGAAGAGAAAGAAAAUUCGAUUCCCUGAGUAGCGGCGAGCGAAACGGGAAAAGCCCAAACCAACAAGCUUGCUUGUUGGGGUUGUAGGACUCCAAUAUGGUCGUUCUUUCAGAUAGUCGAAUGACUUGGAAAAGUCAGUCAAAGAGGGUAAAAACCCCGUAGACGAAAUGUGGAAGACACCUAGGAGGAUCCUGAGUACGGCGGAACACGAGAAAUUCCGUCGGAAUCCGGGAGGACCAUCUCCCAAGGCUAAAUACUCCCUAGUGACCGAUAGUGAACCAGUACCGUGAGGGAAAGGUGAAAAGCACCCCGGAAGGGGAGUGAAAUAGAACCUGAAACCGUGUGCCUACAACAAGUCAAAGCCCGUUAAUGGGUGAUGGCGUGCCUUUUGUAGAAUGAACCGGCGAGUUACGAUUGCAUGCGAGGUUAAGUUGAAGAGACGGAGCCGCAGCGAAAGCGAGUCUGAAUAGGGCGUUUGAGUAUGUAGUCGUAGACCCGAAACCAUGUGAUCUACCCAUGUCCAGGUUGAAGGUGCGGUAAAACGCACUGGAGGACCGAACCCACGUACGUUGAAAAGUGCGGGGAUGAGGUGUGGGUAGCGGAGAAAUUCCAAACGAACUUGGAGAUAGCUGGUUCUCUCCGAAAUAGCUUUAGGGCUAGCCUCGGAAUUGAGAAUGAUGGAGGUAGAGCACUGUUUGGACUAGGGGCCCAUCUCGGGUUACCGAAUUCAGAUAAACUCCGAAUGCCAUUCAUUCAUAUCCGGGAGUCAGACUGUGAGUGAUAAGAUCCAUAGUCGAAAGGGAAACAGCCCAGACCACCAGCUAAGGUCCCAAAAUAUAUGUUAAGUGGAAAAGGAUGUGGGGUUGCACAGACAACUAGGAUGUUGGCUUAGAAGCAGCCACCAUUUAAAGAGUGCGUAAUAGCUCACUAGUCGAGUGACCCUGCGCCGAAAAUGUACCGGGGCUAAACAUAUUACCGAAGCUGUGGAGUACACCUUUAGGUGUAUUGGUAGGAGAGCGUUCUAAGGGCGUCGAAGGCAGAUCGUGAGGACUGCUGGAGCGCUUAGAAGUGAGAAUGCCGGUAUGAGUAGCGAAAGACAGGUGAGAAUCCUGUCCACCGAAUGACUAAGGUUUCCUGGGGAAGGCUCGUCCGCCCAGGGUUAGUCGGGACCUAAGCCGAGGCCGAUAGGCGUAGGCGAUGGAUAACAGGUUGAUAUUCCUGUACCCGUUGUUUUUGUUUGAGCAAUGGAGGGACGCAGGAGGCUAAGGAAUGCAGACGAUCGGAAAUGUCUGUCCAAGCAGUAAGUCUGAAGAGGAGUCAAAUGCUUCUUUUCUUAAGGACAAGCUGUGAUGGGGAGGGAAAUAAUAGUACCGAAGUUCCUGAUGUCACACUGCCGAGAAAAGCUUCUAGUGAGAAAACAGCGGCCCGUACCGCAAACCGACACAGGUAGUCGAGGAGAGAAUCCUAAGGUGAGCGAGAGAACUCUCGUUAAGGAACUCGGCAAAAUGACCCCGUAACUUCGGGAGAAGGGGUGCUGAUCAUACGAUCAGCCGCAGUGAAUAGGCCCAAGCGACUGUUUAUCAAAAACACAGGUCUCUGCAAAAUCGUAAGAUGAAGUAUAGGGGCUGACGCCUGCCCGGUGCUGGAAGGUUAAGAGGAGUGCUUAGCGCAAGCGAAGGUACGAAUUGAAGCCCCAGUAAACGGCGGCCGUAACUAUAACGGUCCUAAGGUAGCGAAAUUCCUUGUCGGGUAAGUUCCGACCCGCACGAAAGGCGUAACGAUUUGGGCACUGUCUCAACGAGAGACUCGGUGAAAUUUUAGUACCUGUGAAGAUGCAGGUUACCCGCGACAGGACGGAAAGACCCCAUGGAGCUUUACUGUAGUU